AGUGAACGCUGGCGGCAUGCCUAACACAUGCAAGUCGAGCGGCAGCGCGGGGGCAACCCUGGCGGCGAGCGGCGGACGGGUGAGGAAUUCGUCGGAAUCUGCCUUUUUGUGGGGGAUAACGUAGGGAAACUUACGCUAAUACCGCAUACGUCCUACGGGAGAAAGUGGGGGACCGCAAGGCCUCACGCAGAAAGAUGAGCCGACGACCGAUUAGCUAGUUGGUGGGGUAAAGGCCCACCAAGGCGACGAUCGGUAGCUGGUCUGAGAGGAUGAUCAGCCACACUGGGACUGAGACACGGCCCAGACUCCUACGGGAGGCAGCAGUGGGGAAUAUUGGACAAUGGGCGCAAGCCUGAUCCAGCCAUGCCGCGUGUGUGAAGAAGGCCUUCGGGUUGUAAAGCACUUUUGUCCGGAAAGAAAUCCCUGGAGCUAAUACCUUCGGGGGAUGACGGUACCGGAAGAAUAAGCACCGGCUAACUUCGUG
rnacentral:rRNA from 1 species